CUGGGAGGACCAUCUCCUAAGGCUAAAUACUCUCUAGUGACCGAUAGUGAACCAGUACCGUGAGGGAAAGGUGAAAAGCACCCCGGAAGGGGAGUGAAAUAGAACCUGAAACCGUGUGCUUACAAGUAGUCAGAGCCCGUUAAUGGGUGAUGGCGUGCCUUUUGUAGAAUGAACCGGCGAGUUACGAUUUGAUGCAAGGUUAAGCAGUAAAUGUGGAGCCGUAGCGAAAGCGAGUCUGAAUAGGGCGUUUAGUAUUUGGUCGUAGACCCGAAACCAGGUGAUCUACCCUUGGUCAGGUUGAAGUUCAGGUAACACUGAAUGGAGGACCGAACCGACUUACGUUGAAAAGUGAGCGGAUGAACUGAGGGUAGCGGAGAAAUUCCAAUCGAACCUGGAGAUAGCUGGUUCUCUCCGAAAUAGCUUUAGGGCUAGCCUCAAGUGAUGAUUAUUGGAGGUAGAGCACUGUUUGGACGAGGGGCCCCUCUCGGGUUACCGAAUUCAGACAAACUCCGAAUGCCAAUUAAUUUAACUUGGGAGUCAGAACAUGGGUGAUAAGGUCCGUGUUCGAAAGGGAAACAGCCCAGACCACCAGCUAAGGUCCCAAAAUAUAUGUUAAGUGGAAAAGGAUGUGGCGUUGCCCAGACAACUAGGAUGUUGGCUUAGAAGCAGCCAUCAUUUAAAGAGUGCGUAAUAGCUCACUAGUCGAGUGACACUGCGCCGAAAAUGUACCGGGGCUAAACAUAUUACCGAAGCUGUGGAUUGUCCUUUGGACAAUGGUAGGAGAGCGUUCUAAGGGCGUUGAAGCAUGAUCGUAAGGACAUGUGGAGCGCUUAGAAGUGAGAAUGCCGGUGUGAGUAGCGAAAGACGGGUGAGAAUCCCGUCCACCGAUUGACUAAGGUUUCCAGAGGAAGGCUCGUCCGCUCUGGGUUAGUCGGGUCCUAAGCUGAGGCCGACAGGCGUAGGCGAUGGAUAACAGGUUGAUAUUCCUGUACCACCUAUAAUCGUUUUAAUCGAUGGGGGGGACGCAGUAGGAUAGGCGAAGCGUGCGAUUGGAUUGCACGUCUAAGCAGUAAGGCUGAGUAUUAGGCAAAUCCGGUACUCGCUAAGGCUGAGCUGUGAUGGGGAGAAGACAUUGUGUCUUCGAGUCGUUGAUUUCACACUGCCGAGAAAAGCCUCUAGAUAGAAAAUAGGUGCCCGUACCGCAAACCGACACAGGUAGUCAAGAUGAGAAUUCUAAGGUGAGCGAGCGAACUCUCGUUAAGGAACUCGGCAAAAUGACCCCGUAACUUCGGGAGAAGGGGUGCUCUUUAGGGUUAACGCCCAGAAGAGCCGCAGUGAAUAGGCCCAAGCGACUGUUUAUCAAAAACACAGGUCUCUGCUAAACCGUAAGGUGAUGUAUAGGGGCUGACGCCUGCCCGGUGCUGGAAGGUUAAGAGGAGUGGUUAGCUUCUGCGAAGCUACGAAUCGAAGCCCCAGUAAACGGCGGCCGUAACUAUAACGGUCCUAAGGUAGCGAAAUUCCUUGUCGGGUAAGUUCCGACCCGCACGAAAGGCGUAACGAUUUGGGCACUGUCUCAACGAGAGACUCGGUGAAAUCAUAGUACCUGUGAAGAUGCAGGUUACCCGCGACAGGACGGAAAGACCCCGUGGAGCUUUACUGUAGCCUGAUAUUGAAAUUCGGCACAGCUUGUACAGGAUAGGUAGGAGCCUUUGAAACGUGAGCGCUAGCUUACGUGGAGGCGCUGGUGGGAUACUACCCUAGCUGUGUUGGCUUUCUAACCCGCACCACUUAUCGUGGUGGGAGACAGUGUCAGGCGGGCAGUUUGACUGGGGCGGUCGCCUCCUAAAAGGUAACGGAGGCGCUCAAAGGUUCCCUCAGAAUGGUUGGAAAUCAUUCAUAGAGUGUAAAGGCAUAAGGGAGCUUGACUGCGAGACCUACAAGUCGAGCAGGGUCGAAAGACGGACUUAGUGAUCCGGUGGUUCCGCAUGGAAGGGCCAUCGCUCAACGGAUAAAAGCUACCCCGGGGAUAACAGGCUUAUCUCCCCCAAGAGUUCACAUCGACGGGGAGGUUUGGCACCUCGAUGUCGGCUCAUCGCAUCCUGGGGCUGUAGUCGGUCCCAAGGGUUGGGCUGUUCGCCCAUUAAAGCGGUACGCGAGCUGGGUUCAGAACGUCGUGAGACAGUUCGGUCCCUAUCCGUCGUGGGCGUAGGAAAUUUGAGAGGAGCUGUCCUUAGUACGAGAGGACCGGGAUGGACAUACCUCUGGUGUACCAGUUGUCGUGCCAACGGCAUAGCUGGGUAGCUAUGUGUGGACGGGAUAAGUGCUGAAAG
rnacentral:rRNA from 1 species